CAGCCGCCGCGGUAAGACAGAGGAUGCAAGCGUUAUCCGGAAUGAUUGGGCGUAAAGCGUCUGUAGGUGGCUUUUCAAGUCCGCCGUCAAAUCCCAGGGCUCAACCCUGGACAGGCGGUGGAAACUACCAAGCUGGAGCACGGUAGGGGCAGAGGGAAUUCCCAGUGUAGCGGUGAAAUGCGUAGAUAUUCGGAGGAACACCAGUGGCGAAGGCGGCUUUCUGGACUGUAACUGACGCUGAGGAGCGAAAGCCAGGGGAGCGAACGGGAUUAGAGACCCCCGUAGUCCCUGUCUCUUAUAC
rnacentral:rRNA from 1 species